UACAGAGGGUGCAAGCGUUAAUCGGAAUUACUGGGCGUAAAGCGUGCGUAGACGGUUAUUUAAGUCAGGUGUGAAAGCCCCGGGCUCAACCUGGGAAUUGCAUUUGAGACUGAAUAGCUAGGGUGCGGAAGAGGGAAGCGGAAUUUCCGGUGUAGCGGUGAAAUGCGUAGAUAUCGGAAGGAACACCAGUGGCGAAAGCGGUCUGCUGGGCAGACACUGACACUGAGAGACGAAAGCGAGGGGAGCAAAUGGG
rnacentral:rRNA from 1 species